rnacentral:tRNA from 1 species
UUUAAAUAUACUAGGGUUUCUAAUCCUAUUUUAAAUUUUAAAUUUUAAUUGUUUGAUU